AGGCACUCUUCAAGAGAUGGAAAGUAAAUUAAUCUGUACCUUAAUUGAAAAGCUCUUCUGAAAAUGGGACAGGCCAAGCUGGUGACAAUGGAGCAGGGAUCCACUUCACACCAGCUGGGGGCUGCUCAGCACAGAAUGAGGAGGCAUCCCACAACCUGCUCAAGGAGACAAGGGUUUCAGCUGAGCACAAGAUGUACGGUGUAAAUUGACUCAUCAUAUGUUUCAAAAUGAAAGAGCGGGGUUGGCUAUUUGGAAUAUUUUAUGACAGGACAGUAUUAAUUUGUUGUUACAGCAUUAAUUGUUAUAGCUACUUCAGAGUUUCUGACUUUACAGGGUUACUUAAUGCAAUUCUGGGUUCAAAUAGAUACUAGAAUCUAGUAUUUAUUUUCUAGCAAGCUGGAAUUACAGAAAGACCUAAUUUUCUGUUGCCUUGACUGAAAUACAGGCACUUAUUUAGUGAGCUAAAAAAAUGUGAAAUGUAAAUAACGUUACAUUUGUCUAAAUGACAGUGCAGCCAGGGUAGUAGGAGACACAGUCUAAAAGUUUGAGCAUAGGGUUUCAUGUUGUUCUUUGCAAGUGAAUGUCCUGUAAUCUGAACUGAAAGAAGUGUUUUUGGCUUUUUUCCCCUUUUAGUUUGCAGUUUCAAACGUCAAAAACUGCAACAUGCAGCACUGCUGAAGUUUAACCCAAGCAAGCAACCAGGUAUCACAUAGCCACCGACUCACUCCCCUACCAACAGGAUCAGAAGAGAGAAUCAGAAGGGUAAUAAUUAGAAAACCUUUGAAUUGAAGUAAAGACAGUUUAAUUGGGAAAGCAAAAUUUGCACACAAAAGAAAAGCAAAAGCAGGAAUUUAUUCACUCCUUUCCACAGGUAGGCAGGUGUUCAGCUUCCCCAGGAGAGCCGGGCUUCAUCACACAUAACAGUGACUUAGGAAGAUAAACCCCAUCACAUCCCUUCCUUCUUUUUGGCCCCACUUUAUAUAUUGAGCAUGAUACCCCAUGGUCUGGAGUCUCCCUCUGCUCAGUCUGGGUCACCUGUUCUGGAUGUUUUUCCUCCCAGUCUCCCAUGUACACCCCAACUUUGUCAGCAUAGCUGGACAAAAGCAAAAAGGGCCUUGGCUCUAUGUAAGCUCUGCUCAGCAGUAAAAACCCACCUCUGUGUUAUCAUGCCCAAAUCCAAAUCACAGCCCUGUGCCAGUUACCGUGAAGAAAAUUAAUUUUAUCUCAGUCAAAACCAGCACAAAUUCAAACCAGUUACUGCUCCUUGCUGGAAUUACAUAAAUGGAGUAUUGAAUGAAACACUGCUGCUCCUCACAAGCCAUGCUGUUCUGUGCGAGAUGCUCUUUUUGGAGUGAAUAAUGGUGAGACUCUCAGGGCUGGCUUUGGUUUAUUCCUGUACUGCAGUAGCCCCUGCAGUGCCAGCGUGAGCGGGACAGCUUCCACCGAGGAGCAGCUGAGCAGAAGGAAAGCGGAGCUGCCAUCUUGUGUUGGGAACUGACGCUGCACUGAACGAGGCUGCAACUUUAGGGCAAUUAAAAAUUUAUUAAACCUUUGGGAAUUUAUUCAGUAAAGAUGGUUUCACAUUACUUCCAUACUUUAUAUUAGUUUUUAACUAAUAAAAGUAAAUCACUUCAA